UUAGAGUUUGAUCCUGGCUCAGGAUGAACGCUAGUGACAGGCUUAACACAUGCAAGUCGAGGGGUAACAUUGGUGCUUGCACCAGAUGACGACCGGCGCACGGGUGCGUAACGCGUAUACAAUCUACCUUAUACAGGGGGAUAGCCCAGAGAAAUUUGGAUUAAUACCCUAUAGUAUUGAGAAGAGGCAUCUUUUUUCAAUUAAAGAUUUAUCGGUAUAAGGUGAGUAUGCGUCCUAUUAGUUAGUUGGUAAGGUAAUGGCUUACCAAGGCUAUGAUAGGUAGGGGUCCUGAGAGGGAGAUCCCCCACACUGGUACUGAGACACGGACCAGACUCCUACGGGAGGCAGCAGUGAGGAAUAUUGGACAAUGGAAGCAAUUCUGAUCCAGCCAUGUCGCGUGCAGGAAGACGGCCCUAUGGGUUGUAAACUGCUUUUCUACAGGAAGAAACCCCUGGACGAGUUUCGGGUCUGACGGUACUGUAGGAAUAAACACCGGCUAACUCCGUGCCAGCAGCCGCGGUAAUACGGAGGGUGUAAGCGUUAUCCGGAAUCAUUGGGUUUAAAGGGUCUGUAGGCGGGUUGCUAAGUCAGGGGUGAAAUCCCACAGCUCAACUGUGGCAUUGCCUUUGAUACUGGUGAUCUUGAGAUAUAGUGAGGUAGAUAGAAUGUGUAGUGUAGCGGUGAAAUGCAUAGAUAUUACACAGAAUACCGAUUGCGAAGGCAGUCUACUAACUAUCAUCUGACGCUGAUAGACGAAAGCGUGGGGAGCGAACAGGAUUAGAUACCCUGGUAGUCCACGCCGUAAACGAUGGAUACUAGCUAUUGGGUUUUAGGAUUCAGUGGCCAAGCGAAAGUGAUAAGUAUCCCACCUGGGGAGUACGUUCGCAAGAAUGAAACUCAAAGGAAUUGACGGGGGCCCGCACAAGCGGUGGAGCAUGUGGUUUAAUUCGAUGAUACGCGAGGAACCUUACCAGGGCUUAAAUGUAGAGUGCAUUAGAUGGAAACAUUUAUUUCUUCGGACUCUCUACAAGGUGCUGCAUGGUUGUCGUCAGCUCGUGCCGUGAGGUGUCAGGUUAAGUCCUAUAACGAGCGCAACCCUUAUCGUUAGUUGCUAACAGGUAAAGCUGAGGACUCUAGCGAGACUGCCGGUGCAAACCGUGAGGAAGGUGGGGAUGACGUCAAAUCAUCACGGCCCUUACGUCCUGGGCUACACACGUGCUACAAUGGUAGGUACAGAGAGCAGCCACUACGCGAGUAGGAGCGAAUCUACAAAGCCUAUCACAGUUCGGAUCGGAGUCUGCAACUCGACUCUGUGAAGCUGGAAUCGCUAGUAAUCGCAUAUCAGCCAUGAUGCGGUGAAUACGUUCCCGGGCCUUGUACACACCGCCCGUCAAGCCAUGGAAGCUGGGAGUGCCUGAAGUCGGUUACCGCGAGGAUCCGCCUAGGGUAAAACUAGUAACUAGGGCUAAGUCGUAACAAGGUAACCAAGGGCGAA
rnacentral:rRNA from 1 species